rnacentral:rRNA from 1 species
AUACGGAGGGUGCAAACGUUGUUCGGAAUUACUGGGCGUAAAGCGCGCGUAGGCGGUUUGUUAAGUCAGAUGUGAAAGUCCACAGCUCAACUGUGGAAGUGCAUUUGAAACAGGCAGACUCGAGUACUGGAGGGGGUGGUGGAAUUCCCGGUGUAGAGGUGAAAUUCGUAGAUAUCGGGAGGAAUACCGGUGGCGAAGGCGACCACCUGGCCAGAUACUGACGCUGAGGUGCGAAAGCGUGGGUAGCAAACAGGAUUAGAAACCCCAGUAGUCC